rnacentral:lncRNA from 1 species
UGGAAUUGGAUUGAAAAUCAAAUAUUGGGUAGUUAUUGGGUUGUUGGGAUUAUCUUAGAUUCUUUUAUUUUUAUUUUUUUUGGUUUUGGUAACCCUAAAAAUUAGCUUCCUUUUUCCCACGUUCUUCUUCUCUUUUUUUUUUGUUCUUCUUUUGUUUUUCUUGUUCCUUCACUCUCUGUUUCUAUUUUCCUUCCUCUGCGAACAAAAUUCAAGAUUAAUUUUGGGAUUCUCCUUGUUGCCU